GCCAAGUCUGCAUACCUUGCCACUUUUCAUGGCUCAACCAGAUGCCAGGCUUGGAAGCUUACAUGGAAGUGCUGGGCACCGCCUAGGGUAUGCUUCUUCCACUGGCUUGCCAACCUCGACCGGUGCUGGACGGCCGACCGCCUAGCGCGACGCAACCUGCCGCACCCACAGCGCUGCCCACUUUGCGAUCAGGCCCCGGAGACGAUUCACCAUCUACUCCUGGAGUGCCCUUUCAGCCGCGUAGUGUGGCACGAGAUCCUCUCAUGGCUACGCCUCUCCUGCCUGCUGCCCACUGAUGGUGCCACUCUCCACGACUGGUGGCGCUCUGCAAAACAUGACACCCCUAAACCUAUGCACAAGGGAUUGGCCUCCGCUGCCUUGCUCGUCCCUUGGAUGAUCUGGAAGCAUCGCAAUGGAUGCGUGUUUGAAGGCACACCACCGUCGGUUACCUCCCUAACUGCUAGGAUUAAGGAAGAGGCCGCACUCUGGGCCAGAGCGGGAGCCUUCGGGCUCCGGGCU
rnacentral:rRNA from 1 species